GACGAACGCUGGCGGCAUGCCUAACACAUGCAAGUCGAGCGAGCUGAUCCCUUUGGGGUGAAGCUAGCGGCGGACGGGUGAGUAACACGUGGGCAACCUGCCUCAUAGAGGGGAAUAGCCUCCCGAAAGGGAGAUUAAUACCGCAUAAGAUUGUAGCUUCGCAUGAAGUAGUAAUUAAAGGAGCAAUCCGCUAUGAGAUGGGCCCGCGGCGCAUUAGCUAGUUGGUGAGGUAACGGCUCACCAAGGCGACGAUGCGUAGCCGACCUGAGAGGUGAUCGGGCCACAUUGGGACUGAGACACGGCCCAGACUCCUACGGGAGGCAGCAGUGGGGAAUAUUGCACAAUGGGGGAAACCCUGAUGCAGCAAUGCCGCGUGAGUGAUGACGGGCCCUUGGGUUGUAAAGCUCUGUCUUCAGGGACGAUAAUGACGGUA
rnacentral:rRNA from 1 species